AUUGAACGCUGGCGGCAGGCUUAACACAUGCAAGUCGAGCGGUAACAGAGGGAAGCUUGCUUCUCUGCUGACGAGCGGCGGACGGGUGAGUAAUGCCUAGGAAUCUGCCUAGUAGUGGGGGAUAACUUGCCGAAAGGUCAGCUAAUACCGCAUACGUCCUACGGGAGAAAGGAGGGGACCUUCGGGCCUUUCGCUAUUAGAUGAGCCUAGGUCGGAUUAGUUAGUUGGUGAGGUAAUGGCUCACCAAGACCGCGAUCCGUAACUGGUCUGAGAGGAUGAUCAGUCACACUGGAACUGAGACACGGUCCAGACUCCUACGGGAGGCAGCAGUGGGGAAUAUUGGACAAUGGGGGGAACCCUGAUCCAGCCAUGCCGCGUGUGUGAAGAAGGUCUUAGGAUUGUAAAGCACUUUAAGUUGGGAGGAAGAGCAGUUAACUAAUAUUUGACUGUUUUGACGUUACCGACAGAAUAAGCACCGGCUAACUUCGUGCCAGCCGCCGCGGUAA
rnacentral:rRNA from 1 species